rnacentral:rRNA from 1 species
UACGUAGGGGCAAGCGUUAUCCGGAAUGAUUGGGCGUAAAGCGUCCGCAGGUGGCUGUGUAAGUCUGCUGUUAAAGAGUCAUGCUCAACAUGAUAAGAGCAGUGGAAACUACACGGCUAGAGUGCGUUCGGGGCAGAGGGAAUUCCUGGUGUAGCGGUGAAAUGCGUAGAGAUCAGGAAGAACACCGGUGGCGAAAGCGCUCUGCUAGGCCGCAACUGACACUGAGGGACGAAAGCUAGGGGAGCGAAUGGG